rnacentral:rRNA from 1 species
UACGGGGGGAGCAAGCGUUGUUCGGAUUUACUGGGCGUAAAGGGCGCGUAGGCGGUCAGCACAAGUCAGUUGUGAAAUCUCCGAGCUUAACUCGGAAAGGUCAACUGAUACUGUGCGACUAGAGUGCAGAAGGGGCAACUGGAAUUCUUGGUGUAGCGGUGAAAUGCGUAGAUAUCAGGAGGAACACCGAUGGCGAAGGCAGGUCUCUGGGCUGACACUGACGCUCAUGCACGAAAGCGUGGGGAGCAAACAGG